rnacentral:rRNA from 1 species
GGAGUUAGCCGGUGCUUCUUCUGUGAGUGAUGUCCUUCCUGCCGGCUAUUAACCCGCAGGCCUUCUUCCUCACUGAAAGUGCUUUACAACCCGAAGGCCUUCUUCACACACGCGGCAUGGCUGGAUCAGGGUUGCCCCCAUUGUCCAAUAUUCCCCACUGCUGCCUCCCGUAGGAGUCUGGGCCGUGUCUCAGUCCCAGUGUGGCUGAUCAUCCUCUCAGACCAGCUACGGAUCGUCGCCUUGGUGAGCCGUUACCUCACCAACCAGCUAAUCCGACAUAGGCUCAUCCGAUAGCGCGAGGCCCGAAGGUCCCCCGCUUUCCCCCGUAGGGCGUAUGCGGUAUUAGCCUGGGUUUCCCCAGGUUAUCCCCCACUACCGGGCAGAUUCCUAUGCAUUACUCACCCGUCCGCCGCUCGCCACCAGGUAGCAAGCUCCCCGUGCUGCCGCUCGACUUGCAUGUGUUAGGCCUGCCGCCAGCGUUCAAUCUGAGCCANAAUCAAACUCUGA